UGGGGAAUAUUGCACAAUGGGCGAAAGCCUGAUGCAGCAACGCCGCGUGAGUGAUGAAGGUCUUCGGAUUGUAAAGCUCUGUCUUUUGGGACGAUAAUGACGGUACCAAAGGAGGAAGCCACGGCUAACUACGUGCCAGCAGCCGCGGUAAUACGUAGGUGGCGAGCGUUGUCCGGAUUUACUGGGCGUAAAGGGUGCGUAGGCGGAUGUUUAAGUGAGAUGUGAAAUACCCGGGCUUAACUUGGGUGCUGCAUUUCAAACUGGAUAUCUAGAGUGCAGGAGAGGAGAAUGGAAUUCCUAGUGUAGCGGUGAAAUGCGUAGAGAUUAGGAAGAGCACCAGUGGCGAAGGCGAUUCUCUGGACUGUAACUGACGCUGAGGCACGAAAGCGUGGGUAGCAAACAGGAUUAGAUACCCUGGUAGUCCACGCCGUAAACGAUGAGUACUAGGUGUAGGAGGUAUCGACCCCUUCUGUGCCGCAGUAAACACAUUAAGUACUCCGCCUGGGAAGUACGAUCGCAAGAUUAAAAC
rnacentral:rRNA from 1 species